AGAGGCCAAGCUGACCAGCUUGUUUUCCGGAUGUGCUUGAUUUGUUUCAUGGCACUGAUGAGCUCUGACACUGAUGACAUUCUUCCCCACGGGCGUGGUCUCAGCUGCGCCCAGCCUGCCAGCCUGCUGGUCCGCCUCCAGCUGGGCGAUGAGCCCAUCGAUCUGCCUGAUCAUCUGCUGCACCCACUGUGUCAGCGUCUUAUAGCUUUUCGAUGCCUCCUCGAGCUUGUCCUCACCCAUCUUGGAAAGCUCCUUCUUGAUCUUGCUGUGGUCCUGGAUGUCCUCCGUCAGCAGCACCAGCUCCUCCUCCUCCUUGGUCAGCGACUUCUUCUGCUCCUUCAACUUGGAGCACGCAUUGCUCAGCACAUCGAUUUCCUCCUUAGUUAUUUCCUCUUCCUUCAAGCCCUCCAGCACAGGGGCAGUGUCCUUCAGGGCCUCAGAGGGCAAGAUCACAUCAGGCACCUCCGGCUGCAGCUUGGCCACAGACUUAUCGGGAGUGGUGGCACCCACACUUUCUAGCUCAGCGCCCUUCGCUGCUUACACCUCUGCAGCCCACUGCAGCUCCUUCUCGUGGUGUUUCUGCCACAUGGUGGCCUCCUCCUGCAGCGUGGCCUCUAGCUUGGCUUUGUACACCUGCUCGCCUUGCAACCCGAAUGCUUUCACCUGGGGCUCCUUGGCCACAAUCUCCGGGAAGGUCUGGAGGUAGACUUGAGCUGGUCAGCAGGUGAGAGUGUCUGGGAGAUUCAUGGCCUGAGACCGCACAAGCAGCAGUGUGGGCAUCUCCUGGUGCUGGUGCAGAUCCAACCACUGCUUCAGCUGCCUCUGCAACUGGUCCUCGGUGACGCCUAGGGUCAGCAUGCCCCGCGCCCGGCAUGCCGCCUGCAGCUCCUUGACAUUCAGGCUGUCCACCCUUUCCUCAGGAUCAGCUUGUUGUCGGCCUUUAUGGACCAUAACGCAUGGUGAGCUGGAAGUGCAGGAAGUUGUUGGUGCUGAUGGACUGCAGCUCCAUCGGCUUGUACUCCGCCACCAGCUGCGGCCACAUGAGGUUGUCCAGGGUCAGCUCAUCCUUGAAAAGCUUGGAGAAGUGCAUGAUUUCCUCUUUGCUGGGCUUCUCCCCCAUCUCACGUAUCUUCUGGAAGAACGCAGAGAAGUCCUGGGUGGCGCUGACCUUGACCGCCUUGUUCUUCAGUGCCAUCUCCUCGAUGAUGUCCUGGAGGAACUUGGCCAGCUCCAGCUUGAUUCGCAGCUCCUUCUUCAGCCUCUCUUCCUUGAUGGACUGCGUCUUAAGCGUGGAUGGCAGCAUGUUGGGAAAGAGCUUCACAGCCACAGGCAGCAGGAACUCCAUGAAGGGCACCAGGCGGAAGAGGUCAGCAUAGUUGUGGAGAAACUGCCUAUGCUGCCGGCUGGAGCAUGCGCACAGCGAUCUUGGCGUCAACCCCUGGCAGGCGGAAGCCAUGGUAGUAGCGCUAGAGCUCGUCCUGUACCCUCCGUCUCAGCAGACUUCUUCAGUGCCACCGGGGCCGCCAGGCUCUACAUCCUCCAGCUUUUUGUCCUUGACCUUCAGGGACUGGAGUCAUCGCUGAGAGGGGGCGAUACCGGCCUCCCCGACGAACACACCGGCUGCAGCGGGAGUCCACGGCACUCCUGCCACCAUACACAGGCGCUCAGGCCUCGGCUUCCGGCGGCCGCAGGACUUGGCUCUGAGGCACAGGUCUGCAGUCCCUGA
rnacentral:lncRNA from 1 species